GACGAACGCUGGCGGCGUGCUUAACACAUGCAAGUCGAACGGAAAGGCCCUGAUUUUGUGGGGUGCUCGAGUGGCGAACGGGUGAGUAACACGUGAGUAACCUGCCCUUGACUUUGGGAUAACAUCAGGAAACUGGGGCUAAUACAGGAUAGGAGCUCCUGCUGCAUGGUGGGGGUUGGAAAGUUUCGGCGGUUUGGGAUGGACUAGCGGCUUAUCAGCUUGUUGGUGGGGUAGUGGCUGACCAAGUCUUUGACGGGUAGCCGGCCUGGGAGGGUGGCCAGGCACAAUGGUCCUGCGAUACGCCCCAGUCGCCUACGUGAGGCAGCAGUGGGGAAUAUUACACAAUGGGCGGGAGCCUGAUGCAGCGACGCCGCGUGCGGGAUGACGGCCUUCGGGUUGUAAACCGCUUUCGCCUGUGACGAAGCGUGAGUGACGGUACUGGGUAAAGAAGCACCGGCUAACUACGUG
rnacentral:rRNA from 1 species